rnacentral:sRNA from 1 species
GUGGUCCUGUGGGCCUCUGCAGUGGACGCAGAGGCACCUGCUUUCUGGCCUGGACUUUCCCGUCAGUUUCUCUUACCUGUCCAGGAUAUCCCGCUCAGUGCCUGUGCCUGAAGAGGCACAGAAUUCAGGAGGUCUCUGUAGGGAGCUCAUUGUUCACUUUCUCAGGCAAAGGUAGUAAACACUGCUCCUUCCCACCAGCUUCAGGUUCUUCCUGGUGAUUCUGUCCAAUUUGGAGCUCCCAAACAACUGAUUUGCCUCCUUGAUGAUGAUAAUUCCCAGAAAGCAGGUGAUGUUAGAGACAGUGCUGGUUAGCUAGGCUCCUAUUUCAACUAGGUCUCAUCCUAGUUUUCUGCAGUUUGGCUGCAGGUUUCUUGCCUUUUUUUUUUUCAUCUCAAAUACUGUUUAUUACACGACAGGAAACAUCAUUGGAUGGUGAACCUAUGUUUUCAAGAUUGUUUGCAGUUUUUUUGAUACUCUAAGUUACUUGGUAAAUACUAUGGGAUUCGUUUCAAAAUUGUGAUCACUUGUGUCUAGAGAUAUGUGCUUGGAGGCAGGUACGUCCUCUGCUCUUUGCUAUAGCUAAGGGUGAAUUAUUGUGCAGUUUAAGCACACAUAGCAGUAGGCGUGGCUGAUUGUUGGCCUACAUGUGCCCAGGGCAUUGUUUCAUACAUUACAUCAAUUCACAUUCACAAGUACCCCUUGGCUACACUGGGAUUUGAGUUCAGGACAGUAGAGCCUGAUCCUAAAGUCCACAUUUUUUUGCCCUGUUCUCCUGCCACUGAAUUCCCUUCCUGUUUCUUGAUCCCCUUACUGAAUCCUCUUUUCUCUCCUCACAGGCGGAUGAAGACCCCAUCAUGGGGUUCCACCAGAUGUUCCUAUUAAAGAACAUCAACGAUGCUUGGGUUUGCACCAAUGACAUGUUCAGGCUCGCCCUGCACAACUUUGGCUGACCUCCUCUCAGCUAGGCACUCACGCUGUUUCCUCCUCCCUCCUCUUCCCAAUACUAUUCUCACUCCUCCAGAUGCUCCAAAUAUCAUGCACAAAUGAGCAGGGCCGCGGUGGGAGUGGGCGCAGUGCGCUGCUGCCACCGAGGUGUUGUGCAUGAUGUUUGGACGCUAGACUAGUUGCAUCUGACGGGAGAAGUUUGUGUUGUACCAGCGCAUGCCUUGGAAAGACUUAAGUAAUGCAAAAGGUUGUCCUUUUUUUUUUUUUUUUUUUUUUAAUCUACUGACAAGUUGCUCUAGUAACCCAAAGAAGUGAAGGAGAAAGCAGCUGCCUCACCGCCCAGACAUUGAUUUGUUCAGAUGUUUCAAUGCCUCAUGAUACAAUAAAACCACAAAAAUUUUCUUAACAGUUUAAAUUGUUUUAAUUAGUUUACUAGUUGGCUGGGCAUCAGAAGCUACCCGGACCCAUUAUCUCUCUCAUGUCUCACCCUCCCACUUCUGCCCCAACUCUGAAUACCUGUUGCAGGGAGAAACUGCUGAAGCAGCACUCCCAGCUAGCCUCUCAGAAGCCCUGUAGGGCAGUUCUCUCCCACUCCGCAGGGCGACUGGUCUUUGGAAUGCAGGCAGGAAGAGCUCAGGUCUGGCCUGAAGCUUCUCUCACUGAAGCCUGUGCAGUCAGUUCUGAUACCUCCUGUGACUUCUGCUCUGGGUAGGUUCAGGGCCCUAGUAGCCGGAGAGAUGAUCCUGAAUCCUGUUGAAGCUGGAGAGGCCUUGGCAAAAUGGCCCAUCACGUUCAGGCCCUCCAGGCUGAGUUGUCAGCAGUAUCAAGGGAGGGGCCUGCUCUAUCCCCAGAAGGAUCAGGAUCAUAUCCAGGAUGCCCCCACAUACACCAAGCCAGGCAGAGGGCAGCUCAGCUCCUGCCCCAUCUGCUUUGGAUAUCAUUACCCAAAGGCAGGUAACCCGAAGAGCCAGCCUCCACUGCCCACAGAGCCAGGCCCAGUUGGGUUGGAGUAUAGGUCAGGAGCUGCAGUCUGUGAGGGACUCAUACUUGAGGAGUCCUCACCCCUCAGACUGCUGCAGGACAUUGCCAGACCUCUCUCUACUUCCUUCCUCAGCAUACAGACUUCAUGCUAUCUUCAAAUUCCAGGGAGUCUUAGCUAUUAGGGCAGUUUCUGCUUCUCCAUUUUGGGGACAAAGGCCUUGCCCAGUACAAAUCUAGCCCCUCGUCCCACAGACUUCUGGAUGGUAUAAACCUAGUGGCAACGUAGCAACCAUAGGCUAGAACCAAACCCAAGAUUUGGGUCAGUGCCCUGUUAAGGGUUUUAGGAUUGGUAAGGACACCACAGCUAAAUCUGACUGUAAAAGGAUACCCUUCCCCCGUCCCACUACGGGUGGAGGCUAAGGACCUCCUCAGAUCCCACAGAUUGCCUGGUGACAUUGGGCACAGGGCUGGAUGGUGUGUUGUUUGAGAGGACAGCAUGCUCAGGAGAUUUCAGUGGGAAUGAUCUCUAGGCUGAUGUGUAUUUGGGGAAGUGGGGGUGGGGAAGAGGUAGGUGCGUGCUGCCUCAAACCACCUUGUGUAAAAUCUGCAAUACCGCUUCUUCCAUGUACCUGUGCCUGAACUGUCUGCAAUAAAGAAGAAUUUGUAAA